rnacentral:lncRNA from 1 species
UACUAUUAGCUAAAAUACUUGAAAAAACCUAAUUGUACAAAAAUUUAGAAGUAUUUAUGUUGCAUCUUUGCCUCAUAACCAUAUGUUGUCUUCAUCUCUUCUUCCACUUGGAUGCAAAUUAAUGGUUUGAUCAUGAAUAGCUGAGAGACUUCGUAUUUCUUGAUGAUAACUUCUCUUUAGUUGUUUUUCUCGUGUGAGAACAAUUCUAGGACAUUCAAAGUUUGCUCACUAUACCUCCUGAAAAAGAAAAAGAACGACAAUGAAAUUGCGUUAUAAGAAUGGACUACAAUUCACACCAACAUGUAAGUACUCUAUCUAGUUAAUUAGACUAUAACUUUGCUAUUAAUUGAUCAAGAAAAAGAUUAAAUAUUGAUGUGGCAAAUCAAAGCAUAAAUACAUACUAGAUAAUAUGCAUUAUAACUUUUUAGAAAAUGUUUCUGUGUUUAUAUUAAUAUAUCUUGUACUGCUAUUACUUAAUCUACACAAAAUUAAAGCUAUAUUGGUCUUCAGUACUAGAUUGAUAACAAACAAUAUCAAGAAACUAAAACGAAUAGCAAAAUAUUUUUAUCUCACUAUAAAUAAAAGUGAAUACUAUUACUGCUUAUAUGGCUAAUAUAGGAGAACACACAAUAGUUUUUCUUCACACAAGAUUUAAAUCUGUCUUGAAAAGUUAAAAACUAUAUGAGAAGAGACAUUAAAGAUGUACGUACUAUUAUUUUGUUUCAAAGCACAAAGAGAAAAGUUUACUUUAGAUUAUGGUAGGAACGUAUUUUUUUUGGUCUUCUGAUUACUUUGGAUAAUGUUCAGUGAUCAACUUGUAAAGGAAGAGGAGUCCUAUAAACUCUCUCAUUUUGAUCUCAACUUUUGCUACAUAGUUACAACAUUCAUUUCACCCCUCGUAUUGGAGGCUAAAAUAUAUGUCAAUAUCCAAGUGAUGUUAAUUUUUUAUGAAAUACACAAGUAAGGGUAAAGGCCUAAUCUCACUCCUAAAACUGUCCCACCUUCAUGUUUUCUUAAAAAGUAUAUAAAAAGAACUUUCAAAAAUUGUAUAGUUCUAAAAAAAUGACAAGUUGACAAUUCCUUCUUUAUGGACAUCAGUUGCACAAUUACUUAAUUAUUCAAAUUCAACAAAUAUUUGAACUUGCAAGGACUGGUUACAUUUUGUUGUUGGAUUUAUAUGUUGUUGACACCCAAUUUUGGACCUCCACAAUAUAAAUUAAUCAUCGAGCUUCUUAAAAUUUCAAACUAUUUGAAAUAAUUGACUUUAUAAAAUUCAAAUUAUUUUCAAGUUAGUUUUAUGUAAUUUUGUCACUUUUUGGAAUUUUUAAAUAAUAUGUAUAUAUAUUUUAUAUAAUUAGGAUAUUUUAUAAAUAUUCGGAAAUCAUCUCAAAAAGAUUUUGUUUUAAUUAAAUAUUUGGUUAAUUAGUUUAGUUAUAUAAUAGUUUAUAUUUUUAAAUCAUUCGGUUUAUAAUUAAGUUAAUUAUUUCAUUUUGUUAAGUUUAAGAAGCUCCUUAAUUAAUCUUAUUUAAAUUCAUUUUAGAUUUUAGCUGAAUUUGCAAACUAAAUUCAAUUCAAACUAUAUUGUAAAUUUUAAUUGGCUAUAACUUUAAUCCAUUGGCCAAAUCCCCAAUUUAAAACCUAAUCAAUUUCUUCAACUCAUUUUGAGACCAAGAAUUUGGGCCCUAUUUCAAUACAACCAGCAGCCCAACUUCACAAUACCAAACCGACCCAAUCCCAAACCCAUUACAAUAACAACAACAAUACAUUCAAUUAGGGGUGUACAAAAAGUCGAACCGAAAACCGAGUCAACCCGGAAAAAAAAAUCCGAUUAGUGGUUUGGUUUUGAAAAAAAAAAACCGACUAUAUUUGGGUUGGUGUUUUAACUAAAAAAACCAACCCGAGACCAAACCAACCCGACAUUAUAUAUAUAAUUUUAAAAUUUAUUUUAUACAUAAAAAUAUUUACUUUGAUAUAAUUUUAAAAUAUUUCUUAUACUUUUUCAUAGUUUUUAUCUUUUAAUAUAUUAUUUCAAGUUUGAAACUUAGAAUUAUGAAUGAGCCAAUAAAGAUUAUAGUCCACAGAUGUUGGUAAUUAACUAAUUACAAUAAAACUUAAAUCAAAAUCAAAUUAAUACUAAUGCAAAAAGAAAAUCAAUUCAACACGACAAUAAUAUUGAAUAAUUGUUCUUUAGUUUUACAUUGGUUUAGACAAUUAAAAUACAUAACCUAAUUUAAUUUCCUUUAAUAUUUAGUCAUGUAACUAAUACUUAUUAAACUUAAUUUUAGCAUGAUUUAGUACUUUUAAAUUAUGAUCAUUUUCAUUAUGACUUGUUAAUUUACAAUAUUUGUUUUACGCGAUUUUAUUAUUAUUAUUAUUAUUUUUGUUGGAUAUUUUAGUGUCAUUAAUCAUAUCAUAUUGUGUUAUAUUUUUAAGAAACAUCUUAGAUAGUUGUAUUUUGGUAGGACUAAAGAAAUAUUUGAAGUACAAGUAAAUUAUAUGUUUGUAUGAAUACUUUACAAGAAAAACCCGAAAAACCCAAAAAAACUCGAGGUUGAAAAACUCAAAUUUUAUUGGUUUGGUUUGGUUUAUAAAUUUAAAAAUCCGACACAAAUAAUUUGAUUUGAUAUUUAAAAAACCCGAACUAACCCGACCAUGUACACCCCUACAUACAAUACAUACAGAAACCCAACCCAAUUCCUUCAAUUUAAUAACCCAUUCCAGCAGCAACAUACGUACAACAGUACGCUUCUUCUUUCUUCUUCACUAACGCGUGAACAAACUCCAGCGAACCCAGACACGAACCAGAACGCGAGUCCAGCAGCCUAGCGCAUCGUCCUCUCCUCUCUCCCUCAUCCUCUGUACGUGAACACGACAGUAGACGGAAAAGCGACCCAGAUGCGCGCUUGAACGCCCGCGUCGUCUUCUUCAAUGCUGCUCGACAGGCAGUACACUGGUACAAUGUUUUUGGCUACAGCAGUCUGAGAAUUUGUACUAUUUUCAGCUCCUCCAACCUUAUCUCUGAAAAAAUUUGAAAUUUGAAAUUUCGAAUUUUAUCUCAUUCCUUACCCGAUUUCCCCCAAAAUCUACCCUAAUUUCCCCCUAUAAAUAGCUCCUUUCUUCUUCAUUGUGGAGGGUUGAAAAAAAAGAAGGAAUUAGUAUUAGAGAGGAAAACACAAGAGGAAACAAAAAAAACGGCAAUUACAAUAUAUAAAUAGGUAGAGGAAGUAGAAUUUGGGGGUGAUAGUAGUCGUGUUGCUGAAAUUUUGAGUUUAGUCGCUGCCCAGAAAAAGGUAAUAUCAUUUUCCCUUUGGUUAAAUUCCUCUUCAUCUCGUGUUUUCAUUGUUUGGAGUUUUUUUCCGAUUUCGAUUAUGUUACUAUUGUUCGCUUUCUGCUUCCUUUAAUAGUGAUACUGGGUUGUCAUUUUAGCAUUUGAAUAUAGCUAAUUGUUACUCCUCUUGUUGAUUGAAUGUGUUAUUGAUUUAGUUUAAGCUUUGUUUUGAUCAAAUCUUCCCAUGUUUAGUCUUAGAUUACUUAUUGUUUGAAUCAUUUGAUGUUGUCUGGAUCAAUUUCUUUGCAUCUUCUUAGGCUUAAUUAAGGUCAGGGUCUAUUCGAUUGUUAGUGUUAGCUUACACAAAUGAUUAUGUGCCUUGUUCUUUACUUUUAACAUCAGAGUUUUCAUUAUUUUGUCAUGUCUACAGUAACCAUUAGAGUCUCAAUUUGACUAGUAUAAUUUAGUAGAAAGAUGGGUUGUCUAUGCAUAGAUCACUUUAUUACUGCUCAAGUUUUGUUUAAAUAUUUUCUUUAUACAUUUGUUGAGUCUGGUUUAGGGGACAUUUGAUAUGUUCAAGUGCAAGUUUAGUAGCUUAUGAUCAGUUUUUUUUCCAUCUUUAUUUGGGUUUGAUGUUGGAGUUAGAUCUUUGUGUUUAUAUCGGAAGUUGUUUUUUUAUCUCCUAUAGUAUACUGGUUCCCAAAAUGCCCCCUUUGAUCACAACUUCUUCAUAAAUUGUGAGAAGAGGAAUGCAUUUUGUCAUUUAUUGCUCUUGAAACUCUAAGGUACUACUUUCCUUGUCCAUUAAUCUAACAUGUCUUAUGGUAGCCUUACUGUGUAAAAAAUGAGUUUUUCUUAUCAUUGGCAUUCUCAUGAUAGAUAUAUGUUCAUUAGUUCAUAGUGUUAUCUUUUAUCUUAUUUCAUUAUUUUAUUAGAUAUCUUGUGUUAGUAGUAUUUCAAUUAGUUCAUAUCUUCCUCUAUGUGUUGUUACCGUUAAGAAUGGAUGAGCUCAUGUUCGCCUACUGACUUUCAUUGGAAAAUUUGCUCUCGAAUAAUUUUGUAUCACUCUUGAUUAAUUCUUUUCAUUUACUUUGUUUACAUGUGAUGCUUCGCCGAGUCUAUUUGGACUCUUCCCAUUGCCUCUUUGCAUUUUCGAGUAACGAGUCAACCCUUCGGUGUUCAAGAGCGAAAUGGGAUUGACGUAUAGGUGUUUGGAGCCGAUAUACGAGAUUAUAUACACUAGUAUACACCUAGUGUAUACGAAAAUGAGGAAAUGGGCCUAAAGUCCCCGAAAUUCGAUUUUGUAUUUUGUUGGGCCUAAGCCUUUUUAUUUUAAGUACUAUUAUCUUGCUAGAACCUAGGACAAGUGGAAGAUGGGUCCAAAGCCCAAAGAAAGACAUCUUUCAAGAUUAGUUUAGGACAAGUAUAUUGGGCCUUUGGUCCCAAAACCAAAAAUUGGGCCCAAGUGCUAGCCCAGGCGGACAGAAAAUCAAACUUGGGCCCAAAACUCAUUCAGAUGAACCAAUCAUAUUUUUAAAAUCAAACAAGUAUAUUUUAUUUAGCUUUAGAAUAUCUAGUACAUAAGUAAUAUCCUUUUAUCCCCUUUCCCUUUAAAAGCAAUUUCAAGUCUUAAAUUGUUGUUUCUUUAAAACAAAGUAUGCUUUUAUUUUAAAAUUGUUUAGCCAAAUAGUUAAUUACUGGAUAACCACGUAUUAGCGGGCAUUUCGGGUGCUUUCAAACCCUUCCCAAAAUACUAAUAAGAACCCUGAAUCCCUCUGAAUAUUUUCAUUAGAUUUCUGUUUUAAUCUUUUGAAAAAAUAGUUUUCUUGAUUUUUCUUUAAAAAUUAAGUGGUGACUCUUAAAACUAGUCCAGUCUCUUUUUAAUAAUAAAAUAUAUGUUUCUUUUUGUAUUUUCUAUAUUGGUGAUAUUUGUUAUAUCGAUACUAAAUAUCAUAUUUUUUUCUGAUAAUAGAUGAAGAUCCAGAAAUGUACACUCUUAAAUUGCACUAUAAUGAUCAGUGGGUGUUCGAACAUGAGAUGAAUUAUGUUGGUGGACAGAUAGCCUACUACGACUACUGUAAGGGAGGUGAAAAUUCUAUCAUUCAAAUGAGACAAUGUAUGAAAAAGUUGAAAGUUGAUGAUAGAAAAAUGAAAUUUUGGUUUAAGUUUGGGCCUUAUUUUGAAAUGAGCUUAAGACUUUUGUCAUUUGAUAUAGAUAUUUAUAAUCUUAUCACAGCAGAGAGGUAGAGAUAUUUGUGGAGCACACAGAUGAAGAUCAAUGGACCUAUGAUGUGGUUAAUAUUGAAGGGGCUGACUUCAAGGUGAAGAGAGCUUGGUAGAUGUUGAUGUAAUAGAGGAAAGUGACGCUACAAUUCCUUGGAAGGAGAUGAGAUGAUUUUUGAUAAAAUUGUCGACUCUACUGCUGAGUGGAUUGGUGUUAAUGAAAAAAUCAGAGAUAACCAAUUUAAAGAAAAAACUAUUGAGUUUGGCGCUGCCUCCGACAUGGCUAAGAUUCCCAGUAACACUCAAGAAGAAGUUUGUGAUGCAUCAAAUGAUGAACUAAUGAGUUUGCAAGGAGAUUCAGAUGAUGAUAAUUCAAAAAGAUUCAUUGUUUAUAAUGCAAAAAGGGAUCUGGAAGAUCCAAAAUUUGAGUUUACACUUAAUAUGAUUUUCAGUAGUAGUAAAGAGUUCAAAUUGACAGUAGAAGUGCGUGCUGUGAUGAUGAAAAAAGACAUCAAAUUUAAGAAAAAUCAAAGUAGGAGGGCAAUGACAAUUUGUAAGGUAUCAAACUGCAAAUGGUUCAUAAAUGCAUCAAAGGCUAACGAAGAUGAACCUUUCAUGAUCAAAAUAAUAGGCCCUGAUCAUUCAUGUGGCAAUCAGAGAGAAAAUAAAACUAUUGACUCUGAAUUUUUGGCUAAGAAAUAUGCAGAUGAGUUCAAAAUUAAUCCAAGUUGGGGUGUGAAAGAAUUUCAAGCUCAUGUGAUGAGGAAGCAUAGUUGCACACUCAAUAGGCAUCAAUCUUAUAGGGCAAAAAAGAAGGCUUUAGAUCUGAUUACAGAGACUAAAGAAGAACAAUUUGAUAUGUUGUGGGACUAUUGUGCAGAGUUAAGGAGGAGUAACCCAAUGACUACAUGUAUUUUGAAGUUGGAUGAUAAUCCAGAAACAAUGGUCAAAGAUAGAAAAAGAUUUUUAAGACUCUAUGUGUGUUUUGCAGCUUGCAAACAAGGAUUCUUAGCUGGAUGUCGACCUAUAAUAGGGGUUGAUGGAUGUCAUUUGAAAGGCUACCAAAAGGGAGGGCAACUAUUGAUUGCAGUAGGCAUUGAUGCCAACAACAACAUGUAUCCUGUUGCAUUCGCAAUAGUGGAAUGUGAAUUGAAGGAAACAUGGAGCUGGUUUCUUACACUUUUUGACGAGGAUCUAGGAAUCUCCCAAAAUUCUUUUACUUGGACUUUCAUUUCUGAUAAAAAAAAUGUUUAAUUUCAGCAUUUGAUGAGAUAAUUUCAGAUGUCGCACACAGAUUUUGCGUGAGGCAUCUGCACAAUAAUUUUAAAACUGAAGGUUUUGGAGGACAAGCAUUGAAAGAAGUCCUAUGAAAAGCUACCAGGGCAACUAUAGAACCUGAAUUUUCCAAGCAUAUGGAAGAAAUGUCAAAGAUAGAUAUAGAUGCCCCUAAGUGGUUCAUGAAUAAGCCUCCCAUUCACUGGUCAAGAGCUUUUUUCUCUUCAUUCACAAAGUGUGACAUGUUAUUGAAUAAUAUGUGUGAAUCAUUUAAUAGCGUACUUCUACCAGCAAGAGACCAACAUAUUCUGACGAUGCUUGAAUCAAUAAGGAUCUAUAUGAUGUCAAGACUUCAGAAGAGUAGAAAUAAAAUGAUUAACCAUUGCCACAUAAUUAAUCUGCCCAUGAAUUUUAUUGAAGCUAGACAAAAAUAAGGAUAAUGUUGCCAAGUGUAUUGCCAUUAAAUCUGAUGAAUUUUAUUACCAAAUUGAGGACAUUUAUCUAAGAUUAUUCUUUGUUGAUCUUAAGGAGAGGACAUGUUCUUGUAAGGGAUGGGACUUAACAGGGAUACCUUGCAAUCAUGCUAUUGCAGCUAUAUGGGUUAAAAAUGAUGAACUUGAAAAGUAUGUUCAUGAAUGUUACAUGGUUGAACAGUAUAUGAAGAGUUAUUAUCCAUCUAUUUUACCAAUUAAUAGCUUUGAGCAAUGAUCUAAGACUGGGGUAGAACCACCACUGCCACCCAUAUAUAAAGCUCAGCCAGGUAGACCAAGAAAACUAAGAAAGAGAGAAAAUGAUGAGACAACUAAAAAAGAAUCAGAUUCUGAAAAUGGUACCCUUUUAAAAGCGUCAAGAAAGGGCAAAAAAAAGAAAUGAGAAUUGUGUGGAAAAACAGGACAGAAUAGUAGAAAAUGUCCUAUUCUUAUAAGAACCAAUCAAUUUGAGGUUCAACGGCAACAAGUUCACUAGAAAGUCAGCAAAGAAGGUUCAUCUACACUUAAUAAUGAAACAGAAGUAAGUUUUCAAAAUAAGUUGAUUCCCUUUAAUAUUUAAUAAGAGUAGCAAUACUAAAAAUGUUAUUUCAAUGUAGGUUUCAAGCACUCUUACUGUGAGUUUGGCAUCAACACAGUCCAACUCCUCAUUUGUGACUAAACAGAUCGUAAUUACCUCUUGUAUUGUCUAUUUAUGUUGUCUGUAUUGAACUUUACUAACUUAGUUUAUUUUAUUACUGUAGGCCAGUCAACUUAACCAGCCAAUGGCACAACCUCAAAUCCCACUGAGGAGUUCUACAUUCAUUUUAGAAUAAAUUAAUGAGCAUUCUAGAGAAGGUACAAGGCCACAUUUCAUCCAGAGAAUGGGAAAACAUUAUGCCCAAUUGUCUUACAUGAGGCGCUUUCUCAAACGAGCAAGAGAGUCAGAAAUAGAGCAUAUGCUAAGAAGAAAAAUGUUCCUUAAAUACAAGCCAAAUAUUUUCUCAUGACAAUGGGUGCAUGCGUUUAGAUUGUUCUUUUUCCUAUUGACUUUGAAGUUGUUUAUGCUUUGGUGACACGUUUUUGUUUCCUCUUAAAACUAGAUGCAACUUAAACAAUUUGAUUUUGUUCUUGAUUUGAACUUUUUGCAGAUGACUAUAGUAAGAUCACAUGCAUCAAUUCACUGUUUUUACAAUAAAAAGAUUGUUAUGUUUCUACAUAUCCAAAAAAUGUAUUGAAAGAGUACCGAAGGGAGAUUCACAACCUAAAACUCGGCCCUUCUAUCUCCUAAUUUAUUUUCCUGCAUCUACACACCAUUCAAGAUAAUGCAAAACCGAUAUAACAAUCUUACAUCAAACAAUCCAAUAAGUUAAUAUCUAGCAUCAGUUUUUUCACUAUCACACUUUACAAGUCAAAUACAUAAUACCAACACUUUGAAAUGCAUAUUGUCUCUUCACAAUCAAGAUAAAUAAUUUCACUCGAGCACUACAAAAAUAGUGCAAACUUCACAAUUAACCACAUUUUACUGAUUUUUAGUGAUAUAGGACAUUUGAAUGUUGAUAACUAUUAGUUUCACUAUUAAUCAAUCUGCAAUACUACAAAAUGAAAGAUACCUUCGCAAACAACAAGGAUUCCGUCGAAAUCUGAGAGGUAAAGCAAUUAUUGGACCUGUAGGCUCAGACCUUUCAUUUCCAGCACCUUCAAAAGGGGUUACUACAAUUUUAAAAGGGAUACAAAUAGAUUUAGGCAAAAGAAAAAGUGAUUUCCCAAAAAGUAAUUCAUCACACCCAUACUCAUCACACCAACUAAACUAGAGUUGUCAUGCACACACCAUUUAUACUUUUGAAGAGAAUAAAACCUUUAAGUAUGUAAGUAUAUUACCUGAAUUUGAAAGCUUAAGCAAAUAUCAGUGAAAAUGUAGAGUUGAAUGUAAUGACCCUCUUGGUCAUUUCUGUGUCUUGCCUUCCGUGUAUCAUUUAGAGCGUUCCUGUAGCGACCCCGCUGGGACUGACAGUUCGGUCACCUGGUCGUUCGUUUGGUUAUGGUGUGAGUUUUAGUGUUUUGGAGCUUAUGAACCUUGAACGAUCAUUUUCGAUCAAAAGUUCGAGAAGAUGACAUCGGAAUCCAAUUCUGACUAUUCCAUCAACUUCGGAAGGGUCAUUUUAGGCUAGUAGCAUGGUCAGGAUGACUCCCGAGGUUUUCAGUGUGAGUCGGUGUGAUUAGGCGUUUUAACAUUAAGUUUAAGCCUAAGUUUGACGUUGGUCAACAUUCUGAGUAUACGCGCUCGAAUGAGAAUUUCGCCAGCUCGGUUAGCUCUGGAAUGUCAAGUUUGGUCUAGAUUGACCUUUCUUUUGUGUCUCGAGGUUUUUGAUAUUUUUCGGAGCUCUUUUGUAGUUUUUGACUUAAAAUGACAUUUGGGUGUGAGACCCACUUUUUGUCAAGAUGGCAUUGUAUGGAAAUUUUGACUGUGCCAUUGAGUUCGGAAUAUCGAAUUUAGUAUGGUUGCAUAUCUCGUUUGCGUGCACGGGGUUCCGAACGAGUUCGGAGCACCCCAUCGGAGUUUUUUAGUUUUGGAAAUUAUUGCAGAAAAUCUGCUAUAAAUGCAGAAAAUCAGUAACAUUUCCCAAACUUCAAACCCUCAUAACUCUCUAAUCUUUCAUCCGAAUUAGGCGAUUCAAAGUGCGGGAGCUUCGUAUUUUUGGUGGCUUCGCUGUAGAGUGUUUGAAAGUUGUCGGGUGCACGUAGUUCGAGCUAGAUUUCACAAUAACCUGACUGCAGUACCCUUUUUCGAGCUUUUGUUUUCGGCAUUCUUGUUUUGGUCAUAUCUCACUCAUUUUAGCUCGGUUUUGGGUGAUUCGAAGUCCUACGUGUUGGAAAUUGUAUUGGCUUCAUUGUAGAAUGUUCAAAGCGUGCUGGGCACUUUUUGAUUCUCCUUAAUUUCGAGUUUAGACUGCUGUAAUGUUUUCUUUUAAGUUGAUUAAAGUGUGGUUUUGUUGCUUGUUGGAUGUUGAUGCGUUUUAAUCCCCGAAUUGUAUUCCAUUUUGGAACACAAGUUUGGGGUGCUAUUUAGGGUGUCUUGACGGAGUCAAAUUCAGACAGUUCGGUGCGGAUCCUACGAUUCCCGUUUUGACUCCAAAAUUGAUCCGUCUCCGUUUGUUGUGAUUUUGGUGUCUAAACGACCGUAAUAAUCUUGUGACUCUAUUUUUGAUUGCGGGGCAGUGUUUCGAGGACGUUUGGAAAAGGAAAGCUCCGUAGAAGUGAUAUUGGAGCACGUGUGAUCGGCCUACAGGUAGGCUACGGUUUCCUUCUCUUAGAUUGAGCUCGAAAAUGUGAAUGCAUGUUGAUUAUUUGGGAUUUGGGUUGAGUAGUUAUUGAAUCAUGUAUAGGUGUUUAAAAAUCAUGUUUUCGGCCUAUUUCGAGAAUUAUCGGGUAACUGUGAGCAUGCUUUGUGUUAUUAAAUUGACCCUCUUCGCUAUGUGGAGUGCUUGCAUGCUUAAUUACUGUUUAUUUGAAGCAUCUUGGGCCUUAGUUUAGGUUUGACUAGGGCUUGCCUUAGAAAUUCAUGAUUCGGAUCCAAUAAGCCUUAGUUUUUCCCCGACGUCGCUCGGCCGGCUUAGAUCCCUGUAGACUGGUGUAGCAGACUUGAGUCUGAUAGUUUGGGCCUUAGCUAGGCGAUACGCUUGCUCCGACUAUAGUUAUCCUUUUUUUCCCCGAUGUUACGGCUUCACGAGUUAAGUCGGCUACGCUAGUUCUGCUUCGCGAUUUGAAUUUGAUUUUCGAUUCAGUUCCAAGGACUUACAUUGAUUGGCUAAGUAUGGACGGCGUUCCACGGACAUUUCUGAGUAUGGAUCGAUUGGGACUCUUUCAACAACUACAUUAGCACCUUUGUCGGGCAUCCGGAUACGCUUCCACGAACAUUUAUGAGCAUAGAUCGAUUAGGAUUCUUUCAGCAGCUACAUUGGCACAUUUAUAGAGCAUCCGGUUUAAGGUCCGGCCUCUAUCGCCCAGAUACUUAUAUAGAGCAUCCGGUUCGAGGUCCGGCCUCCGUACUGUCAGAUUCUACUAAUUAAGGUUGAGGUUCUGGUUCGAUGUUCUUCGUUCUUGGGUUCNNNNNNNNNNNNNNNNNNNNNNNNNNNNNNNNNNNNNNNNNNNNNNNNNNNNNNNNNNNNNNNNNNNNNNNNNNNNNNNNNNNNNNNNNNNNNNNNNNNNNNNNNNNNNNNNNNNNNNNNNNNNNNNNNNNNNNNNNNNNNNNGUUAGAAUUUCGUUCUUGACUUCGGUUUGUGUUAUUCCUUCUUUUCAUAUUGCCUUUACUUUUCAAGUUCAGUCGGCCUAUGAUGCCUACUGGGUACCUGCUGUUGUGGUACUCAUGCUACGCUCUGCAUCUGUUUCGUGAUGUAGGUUCGAGUACCAAUGGCUAGCGUUGAUCCAGUUUGGAGUAGUCUGAUCCGGAGACAGGGGUGAGCACACGACGUUUUGUACUAUUUUAGUCUCCAUCUGUAUAUAUAGACUUGUCUUUUACCUUUCGAGACAGUCCAGUUUAUGUGGUCCGGUUUUGGGAUUUGUACUCGUUUUGUUAGUAGCUCUGUACUAGUGACUUCCAGGUUCUGGGAAAGAUCUUUAAUUGUAUAUAUGUUUUGGUUUGCUUCUGCCUGUUUAUGUUGUUAUCUUAAAUUUUGCCUACUUUUGUUUAGUUUCUGCCCUCAGAUCCAUUAGUUGUUGUUCCGGGUUACGGGUUGGUUUAUCUACUGGUAGGUUAUAGUAAGUGCCAUCAUGACUCGAGGAAUCGGGUCAUGACAUUGAAGAACUAAAAUCGCUUGAUCGAAUCGGUAAGGCUAAAUCAAAAAGACUUACCUCAUAUCUCAAGUUGAAGAAGAACUGAGAAGAAAUCUCAAAAAUUGAUUCAAAUGAAACAAAAAUCACUCCAAUAUGAGCUCCAUCGUAAAUUUUCCUUUAGUAUUAAAUCAAUAUUUGGGGAGCUCUACAUUGGAUUUUUAAGAGAGAGAAAGAGAUAAGAUAGGAGAGAAG